AUGUCGGCCAAGAUCGACGUGAUCCACCCGUUUGUGAUCGAUCUCCAAGGGUGGAAGCCGGCAAUCGAGCGAUCGGUGGACGAGCUUCGCGCGGAGGUGGACGAUCUGCGGGGGCUGUUGCAGGACAAGGGCAAGGGCGCGGAAGGCGCACCAACGCCUCCCCUGCCGUCGCAGCCACCUCUUCCACCACCACUCCGGCUUCUGGACUUGCCGCCCUUGAUCCCUCAAGCGGCGGAGGCGAGCCUCGUGCGACCCUCCGAUGGCCCGCCAGUGCAAGGUGGUGGCAACCACGGGCCAAUCGGCCACGGCAGGACUGCAGAUCACCGGGGGAUGUCUCCGUGGUACCGAUCCCCGCGGGUGCCUCCGGUCACGGGUACGUUUGAUUCCCGUCACCAGUUUGGAGAGAGCUCAUUCAUGGGAGAGAGGGGGUUCGGCUUUGCCCGCUAUCCUCCGCCACCGCGCCUUGAUUUUUCUCUGUUUGAUGGGGAUGGCCCCCGCGCGUGGCGUCUGAAGUGUGAGGCUUAUUUUCGUGUUUGCACCCUGAGUCUAGAUACUUGGGUGAGUUACGCGUUGAUGUACUUCAUCGAGGGGGCGUUGUCGUGGUUGCAAUCCACCAGAGCUCACCUGAUUUACCAAGAAUGGGAUGAGUUUGCCAACGCUGUCUGCGAGCAGUUUGGGCGAGAGGAGUUCCAAUCUCUGCUGCACCAGUUCAAUAGGCUGGGACAGAAUGGGACAGUGACCGAAUAUGCAGAGAAAUUUACCCAGUUUAUGCAUAAUCCUAUGGCUCAUCAUGCAUCUUGGGAACCUACCUAUUUCAUUACUCACUUUAUUGAUGGGUUACAGAAAGAAAUUCGUGCAGCAGUAGUGUUGCAUCGUCCAAAAACACUCGAUACUGCUGUCGAUCUUGCUUGCCUGCAGGAGGAGGUGAUGGAAGCGAUGCGGAGGGAGGACAAGCGCGAGGAUCGCCGGUACAGCGCCGCCUCGGCCACGAGAACGGUGCCGCACAUGGCGCUUCCCCUCCCGCCUCCACCCGCGACGGCGCCGCCCAAGCCGGCCGCACCACCGAAGUCGCGCAGCGCGGACUGUCGCGCUGUCGAGGCGGCUCAUACCCAACCUGAAGACAGAGUCGCAGCGCUGCGUGCCUACCGCCGUGCACGCGGUCUCUGCUUCACUUGCGGCGAACGGUGGGGACGAGACCACCGCUGCGGGCCAACGGUUCAGCUCCACAUGGUGGAGGAGCUGGUCGACAUGAUGAACAAUGAGAUGCCGUCAACGGAUGAGCCCAGCCCGCAACGUGCGACACCAAGCGAGGAGGAGGCGGACUGCUGUAUCAUAUCUUAG
rnacentral:rRNA from 1 species